rnacentral:rRNA from 1 species
GAAGCCCUUCGGGGUGGAUUAGUGGCGAACGGGUGAGUAACACGUGGGCAAUCUGCCCUUCACUCUGGGACAAGCCCUGGAAACGGGGUCUAAUACCGGAUAACACUCUGUCCCGCAUGGGACGGGGUUAAAAGCUCCGGCGGUGAAGGAUGAGCCCGCGGCCUAUCAGCUUGUUGGUGGGGUAAUGGCCUACCAAGGCGACGACGGGUAGCCGGCCUGAGAGGGCGACCGGCCACACUGGGACUGAGACACGGCCCAGACUCCUACGGGAGGCAGCAGUGGGGAAUAUUGCACAAUGGGCGAAAGCCUGAUGCAGCGACGCCGCGUGAGGGAUGACGGCCUUCGGGUUGUAAACCUCUUUCAGCAGGGAAGAAGCGAAAGUGACGGUACCUGCAGAAGAAGCGCCGGCUAACUACGUGCCAGCAGCCGCGGUAAUACGUAGGGCGCAAGCGUUGUCCGGAAUUAUUGGGCGUAAAGAGCUCGUAGGCGGCUUGUCACGUCGGAUGUGAAAGCCCGGGGCUUAACCCCGGGUCUGCAUUCGAUACGGGCUAGCUAGAGUGUGGUAGGGGAGAUCGGAAUUCCUGGUGUAGCGGUGAAAUGCGCAGAUAUCAGGAGGAACACCGGUGGCGAAGGCGGAUCUCUGGGCCAUUACUGACGCUGAGGAGCGAAAG